rnacentral:tRNA from 2 species
GAUCCCGUAGCUCAGCCGGUAGAGCAUCUGACUUUUAAUCAGAGGGUCCUGGGUUCGAGUCCCAGCGGGAUCACCA